rnacentral:rRNA from 1 species
UACGUAGGGCGCAAGCGUUGUCCGGAUUUAUUGGGCGUAAAGAGCUCGUAGGCGGUCUGUCGCGUCGGCUGUGAAAACCCGGGGCUCAACCUCGGGCCUGCAGUCGAUACGGGCAGACUAGAGUGUGGCAGGGGAGACUGGAGUUCCUGGUGUAGCGGUGAAAUGCGCAGAUAUCAGGAGGAACACCGGUGGCGAAGGCGGGUCUCUGGGCCAUAACUGACGCUGAGGAGCGAAAGCGUGGGGAGCGAACAGG